rnacentral:tRNA from 1 species
GUCCCCGUAGCUCAUCAGGAUAGAGCGACAGUUUCCUAAACUGUAGGUAGUGUGUUCGAGUCACGCCGGGGACGCCA